AUAGGGCAGCAAAAAGAAUUCCUGUGUUUUAUCAUCAGCAUGUUGUUUUUCUUUGUUUAAUUGUGAACUUCCUUCCCCUUUUAUGCAGCUGAAGCACAUAAAAUAGGAUGCUGAGAUGAUUAAGGAUGAAUAUCCCAACUAGAGUUCAGCUGAAACAUAUAAAAUUGAAUAUUUGAUCAGACUGCAUUUUUUUUUUGAUUUAAGAAUAUCCAAACUACUAUAUGAGUUAAAUUUUUACGUGUCGUAUGUAUUUAGGAUUUUUUUUUGCGUGUGCUCUUUAACAAGUCUUUCUGGAGCAAAAAAUUGAAGAAGCACACGAGCUCUCUAUAUAAUAGAGGAUCUUGAGUUGCAACUGAGUAAAGAGCAAGAAGAAUAUAAAAGAUUUUGAUUUUUAAUAUUUUUUAAUAUUUAUAUUCAAUUUAGAACCCUGAGCAUUUCCUUCUCUGCUUGAGUGGCAUUGAAAAUAUGACAAAACAUUACAGAGUGCUUCAAGACAAAAAGAUAAUAAUAUUACUUUUGCAUUCCGUUUAUUAAUUAUUGUUUACUUUGUAGGAUUACUUUGAAAUUGAAGAAGUUUAAUUAUUAAAGUCAUAGGCAUAAAGCACAACAGAAGCUAAAAA
rnacentral:lncRNA from 1 species